UAGGCGGAUUCUGAAAAGCCUUGGAGAGAGUAGGAG
ncrna:unclassified sequences DTF805b RNA